rnacentral:rRNA from 1 species
GACGAACGCUGGCGGCGUGCCUAACACAUGCAAGUCGAACGGAGUAAACCGCUGAUUUGAAGGUAGCUUGCUACUGGAUUUUCUUGGUUUACUUAGUGGCGGACGGGCGAGUAACGCGUGAGCAACCUGCCUUUCAGAGGGGAAUAACGACCGGAAACGGUCGCUAAUACCGCAUAACGUAUCAUGAUGGCAUCAUCGAGAUACCAAAGGAGCAAUCCGCUGAAAGAUGGGCUCGCGUCCGAUUAGAUAGUUGGUGGGUAACGGCCUACCAAGUCGACGAUCGGUAGCCGAACUGAGAGGUUGAACGGCCACAUUGGGACUGAGACACGGCCCAGACUCCUACGGGAGGCAGCAGUAGGGAAUUUUCGGCAAUGGGCGAAAGCCUGACCGAGCAACGCCGCGUGAGUGAAGACGGCCUCGGUUGUAAG